rnacentral:lncRNA from 1 species
AAUUAAACCAAUUAGUUACUUUAUUUAUAUUUCGUAUUGUAUAUUUGCCAAAUUGAUAGCGGAAUAUUUUUAAUAAACUUUCUUUAGUAUUAAGUGAUAUCUUCAAAAACUUACCGUUAUUUAUGAAUUUCUCAAUACAAAUCGGUAUAGGAACUGAAUCCGAUCGUCGCAUCCUCACAUUUAUAUAUCACGCAGUUUCACUCGACACACCACGACUACACAACACAAACACGUCUGAAUGUCUGUUACUGAAUGGUCAAUAUGUGUGUGAAGUACAGCUGUGGAACUUCGGUUAUGUAUGAUGAUAUGCGUGUAUAUGACUGGAGUAAGAGAACAAGGUGUAGGGUUUUCACAUACAACGCUUAAAAAUAACAACAGCCACACGAAGACAUUCAUAUUCGAACAUAUUCCGAUCGUCGCAUCCUCACAUUUAUAUAUCACGCAUUUUCACUCGACACACCACGACUACACAACACAAACACGUCUGAAUGUCUGUUACUGAAUGGU